rnacentral:rRNA from 1 species
UACGUAGGGUGCGAGCGUUAAUCGGAAUUACUGGGCGUAAAGCGUGCACAGGCGGUUUUGUAAGCCAGAUGUGAAAGCCCCGGGCUUAACCUGGGAAUGGCAUUUGGGACUGCAAGGCUUGAGUGCGGCAGAGGAGACUGGAAUUCCUGGUGUAGCAGUGAAAUGCGUAGAUAUCAGGAGGAAUACCGAUGGCGAAGGCAGGUCUCUGGGCUGACACUGACGCUCAUGCACGAAAGCGUGGGGAGCAAACAGG